AGAGUUUGAUCAUGGCUCAGGACGAACGCUGGCGGCGCGCCUAACACAUGCAAGUCGAACGGUGAACGGGGCUUCGGCCCCGGGAUCAGUGGCGAACGGGUGCGUAACACGUGGGCAACUUGCCCCUCACUCUGGGAUAACCCCGGGAAACCGGAGCUAAUACCGGAUACUCCGAACGGUCCACCUGGUCCGAUCGGGAAAGGUCCGCCGGUGAGGGAUGGGCCCGCGGCCUAUCAGCUUGUUGGUGGGGUAACGGCUCACCAAGGCGACGACGGGUAGCUGGUCUGAGAGGACGGCCAGCCACACUGGGACUGAGAUACGGCCCAGACUCCUACGGGAGGCAGCAGUGGGGAAUCUUGCGCAAUGGGCGAAAGCCUGACGCAGCGACGCCGCGUGAGGGAUGAAGGCCCUCGGGUUGUAAACCUCUUUCGGCGGGGGACGAAGCGAUCCGUGACGGUACCCGCAAGAAGAAGCCCCGGGCUAACUACGUGCCAGCAGCCGCGGUA
rnacentral:rRNA from 1 species